rnacentral:rRNA from 1 species
AGAACGAACGCUGGCGGCAGGCUUAACACAUGCAAGUCGAACGGUUGUAGCAAUACAGCAGUGGCAGACGGGUGAGUAACACGUGGGAACCUUCCUAGGGGUACGGAACAACUCAGGGAAACUUGAGCUAAUACCGUAUACGUCCGUAAGGAGAAAGAAUUCAUCGCCCCUAGACGGGCCCGCGUAGGAUUAGGUAGUUGGUGAGGUAACGGCUCACCAAGCCUACGAUCCUUAGCUGAUCUGAGAGGAUGAUCAGCCACACUGGGACUGAGACACGGCCCAGACUCCUACGGGAGGCAGCAGUGGGGAA